UACGAAGGGGGCUAGCGUUGCUCGGAAUCACUGGGCGUAAAGCGCACGUAGGCGGAUCUUUAAGUCAGGGGUGAAAUCCCAAGGCUCAACCUUGGAACUGCCUUUGAUACUGGGGAUCUCGAGUCCGGAAGAGGUUGGUGGAACUGCGAGUGUAGAGGUGAAAUUCGUAGAUAUUCGCAAGAACACCAGUGGCGAAGGCGGCCAACUGGUCCGGUACUGACGCUGAGGUGCGAAAGCGAGGGGAGCAAACAGGG
rnacentral:rRNA from 1 species